rnacentral:lncRNA from 1 species
UCAAAUCCAAAACACUUUUUCUUCCGAUAAUGGUGAAACACUCCUUUUCCCUUUCCCCUUUUUCCUCCUCCACCACCUCUCCCGUCUUCGCCGAGCACCUUCAGUUCAAGGGUUUCAAUGCUGAUGAUAUCGAUGUCUUUAUUGACCUCGAUAAACCCAUAUCCAUAGCACAACACCUCUUUUCUCCUCCAUCUAUCACUACUCUCGCCAUCUCUGAUGCUAUUGAAUCUCAU